rnacentral:misc_RNA from 1 species
AACGCACAUUGCGCCCUUUGGUAUUCCGAGGGGCAUGCCUGUUCGAGCGUCAUUUCACCCUCUCAAGCUUCAGCUUGGUGUUGGGCUGCGCCAUCGCACUGGCGAGCCUUAAAAUCAGUGGCGGUGCCGUCGUGGCUCCAAGCGUAGUAGCAUCUCUCGCUCUGGAGGCCUGGUGGUUGCUUGCCAGACAACCCAACCAUAUCUUUCAAUGUUUGACCUCGGAUCAGGUAGGGAUACCCGCUGAACUUAA